CUUUAGAGAGGUCAUUAGGUCAUGGGGACACCACCUUCAGAAAGAUUAGAUUGGUUACCAUAAUAGUGGGUUGUUGAAAAGUGAAUUUGGCUUUCUUGCUUCUUCUCUCACCAUGUGAUCUCUGUUUCUCUUAUGCACUGCUGCCAUGUGAUACAUUCAGAAAUCUAUGCUGGUACAGAACCACACUCUUGGACCUCCAGAACUCUGAGGGAAAGAAACCUCUUUUCUUUAUAGAGUAUCCAGCCUCAAUAUUUUGGUAUAGCAACAUAUGAUGACUAAGACAGCCACUGAGUCCAUAGUCAUUUGUUAGGGAGCUCUAGAAAACCACUACACUGUGCUCCAGAGGAUGGACCCAGGUGAGGUUCAUUUUCUACAGGAGAUGUUUUCUCUAUUUAUGGCAGGAUUUGCCUGAGCAACAGCCUCAGGCAGCCCAAUCUGCAACUCUCAAGAACUCCAAACAUCCAGAUGGGACUAUGGCUGAGAAUCUGCCCUGGAGAAAGUACCCUGAGAUGUUUUCAGUAUCCAUCAGCAGACAAAGCACAAGAGAAAUAGGCUGAAUUUGGAAACUAGACAGAGAUGGUUUUAAAACUCCACUCCACUACUG
rnacentral:lncRNA from 1 species